UAGCAGCCGCGGUAAUACGUAGGUGGCAAGCGUUGUCCGGAAUUAUUGGGCGUAAAGGGCUCGCAGGCGGUUUCUUAAGUCUGAUGUGAAAGCCCCCGGCUCAACCGGGGAGGGUCAUUGGAAACUGGGGAACUUGAGUGCAGAAGAGGAGAGUGGAAUUCCACGUGUAGCGGUGAAAUGCGUAGAGAUGUGGAGGAACACCAGUGGCGAAGGCGACUCUCUGGUCUGUAACUGACGCUGAGGAGCGAAAGCGUGGGGAGCGAACAGGAUUAGAUACCCUGGUAGUCCACGCCGUAAACGAUGAGUGCUAAGUGUUAGGGGGUUUCCGCCCCUUAGUGCUGCAGCUAACGCAUAAGCACUC
rnacentral:rRNA from 1 species